rnacentral:lncRNA from 1 species
GCUAAUUUGGUAUGGUUAAGCUUUCAUACUAUACUAGGGUUAGGGUUAUGUGUGUUUGAUGUUGGUGUUAGGGUUAUGCUAUGGUUAGGGUUGUGGUUAUUGUUAAGUGGGGGUUAGGGUUAACCAAGAAUUCUCGGUUUUGUAGGCAUGGCUUCAUCCGGUUCCAUGACGAGGCCAUCAUGUGCUAACCAAGAAGACAUGCCGAACAAGUGGGAGGACGCAUCUUUGGACAAGGUGAAGGAGAAAGAUGUCAACAUCCCGCCAUGUUGGCGUGGAGAUGUUUGCAAGGUGAAUGUGUCCACCGACCGAAAGAAAUCAUGGACGGAAGGGCGGAGAUAUUUUGUAUGCCCGAACUAUGCUUAUGAUCGUGCACUUCCAACUAACGCCUAUGACCAACCACCGGUAAGCUCGAGAAGUAAAAUGUUACUAUCAAAUGUGUGCCAACACUAACAAAAUUUUUGUAUGCAGUCACCGCCUCCUCUAUGCAAGUACUUCACGUGUGGAUAGAUCUUUAAGUGCCAGAAGAUGUCAAAAAGGACCAAUACCAAGAUUGUCUUAGGCGGCAACGGCGGUUCGAAGAAUCGUUUCGAAGAGGCUUAGAGCAAGAGCGUCGUCAGAAGGAGAGGAUGGAGCGGAAGAAACGAGAGGAGGAGAGGGCACGCCAAGUGAAACUUGCUCGUGAGGAGGAGAGGGCAAGAAAGCUUGCAAAGGCUCGCGAGGCGCAAGAGGAGGACUCGGCACAUGACAAGAAGGGGAAACGGCCUCGCUCUACUCAGUAGGGACUUUGCUUCGGUGCACUCGUCGUCAACUAUCUUCUAACGAAUGUGUCGUGAACUUGUGAGGGCAUGUGAGAUGUUGGUGAACUAUCUUCUAGGGCAAGCUUCCAUUUGUCAUUUGUAAUGAAUGUGUCAUGAACCAUGUCGUAGUAAUGUUUGAAUUGUCUUAAGUUAUGAACUCAUCGGCAUAAAAUUUGUGUUUGUUCAAAUUGCUGUGAUGCUGCAGUCAUUGUAAGUAUUAUGAUGUUCCGGUGAAAUGAACGUGUUGUAAACUCUGUUUUUCCAGUAAACAACCGUGCAGCGCCAGGAACACAGGCGCUGCACUAUACUGUGCAGCGCCCACAGGAUAACUGUCACACAGUACAGUGCAGCGCCUGGCUCAUGGGCGAUGCACUCUGACUUGGUAAUUUUCGUGGAUUGUCAGUGCUGCAAGCCUUCUGUGGCUCUUUGGAUAGCCAUGGCCAGUUGAGCAGCACCUAUGAGACGGGCGCUGCAGUGUAUGGUGCGGCGCCUAAGCGUUGGGCAUGUGGGGCGCUGCACUGCUGUUAACUGCCAAACUGCAGAAACAGAUGCCAUUUUGGCCCAUGCAGCACUCACAUAAUUUGCUUGAACAUCACUAAAAUUACUGGAAACAAAGUCCUCGACACAACGUACCACAUGUAGACACGAGCAUGUGUCUGGAUCACAUCAUCAGUGGUAUCCGGAGCGCACGUCGCAAAGUUAUUUUGAAUGCACGUGAAAGCAGGUCUGGCUGCUUUCUUUUCCCUCUUCUUCUUCUCUUCUCCCUCCUCUACAUCAGCCUCAACCUCGGUAGGAGCCAUACCGAUAAGAGCAAUCAUCUGCUCGCGCCACCCAUCAGAAUCGGUGCUCAUACAGAGAGGCAUUCCGUCGAUAGCAAGACUGGUGAUCAACGAGACAUCCUCGAGCGUCACGGUCAUCUCCCCAGUCCGAAGAUGGAAACUGUGCGUCUCCGGCCUCCACUGAUCAGCAAGAGCGGACACCAGUGGAACGUUCAGAUUCGGCAUGGACCGACUGACAAACUGAAUCCCCUGGAGUAGUCCUGCCUGCUUGAUGUACGGUGUGUACCGCUCAUUGUAAGGCAUGGCAAGACCAGAGACCCCGUGAUACCGAAUCUUCAAAGGUUCAAGCUUCUGAAAAAACAAGUAAUGACAAAUCUUAGGGCAUGUAAAUUUCAACUUAAGGCAAAUUUGCAAAAUAUUUAGAUUACUCGUUAUUACCAUCUCCUUCUCGCGCAUCAUGUAGGCCCGGUGUUUUGUGUCGUAGACAUAGUCGAGAAGCCAAACCAUCCUUUCAAAUUUCAAAAUAAACAUAUAUGAGUUCAUCUCAAAUAUCGGUAAACACUCAACAUUUCAUAUGUGUUCAUCUAAACAUCUCAUAUGUAUUCAUUUACAAGAAUCUCAACAUCUCCUUCUCACACAAUGAAUAAAUGAUUGUAAAUUCUCAUAUAUAUAUCUAGUAUGUCAUAUGUGUUCAAGUAAAUCAACAUCUUAUAUUUCAAAUAAACUCAACAUUUAAUAUAUAUCUAAAAAGACUCAACAUCUCACAUAUAGCUACAAAACUCAACAUCUCAUGAUUAUCUACAAAACUAGGCAUCUCAUAUAUAUAUAAAAAAUUACAAUCUAGGUUUCACUAACAAGAAUCAUNNNNNNNNNNNNNNNNNNNNNNNNNNNNNNNNNNNNNNNNNNNNNNNNNNNNNNNNNNNNNNNNNNNNNNNNNNNNNNNNNNNNNNNNNNNNNNNNNNNNNNNNNNNNNNNNNNNNNNNNNNNNNNNNNNNNNNNNNNNNNNNNNNNNNNNNNNNNNNNNNNNNNNNNNNNNNNNNNNNNNNNNNNNNNNNNNNNNNNNNNNNNNNNNNNNNNNNNNNNNNNNNNNNNNNNNNNNNNNNNNNNNNNNNNNNNNNNNNNNNNNNNNNNNNNNNNNNNNNNNNNNNNNNNNNNNNNNNNNNNNNNNNNNNNNNNNNNNNNNNNNNNNNNNNNNNNNNNNNNNNNNNNNNNNNNNNNNNNNNNNNNNNNNNNNNNNNNNNNNNNNNNNNNNNNNNNNNNNNNAAUCUUGGGCAAAUUCCUAAAAUUGCAAUGCAUUUAUGGAGGAAAAGAAAGGGAACGAAGGACUUUACCUAGUAGGAGGGAUUGGAGAUCGAAUCCGGGCCUCAAAACUUCAGAUCUGAGAGGGGUGUGGGGGAGGGGGGGGGGGGUCCGAAGGGGGCGCCGCCACCGCCGCUCUCUGUACAGAGAGCAACUUCCUCGGAGGGGGAAGAACUGCCUAGGAGGGGCUGGCCCGAUGCGGCUUAAGUCAAUGUGCAGCGCCUAAGAGACGGGCGCUGCACAUUACAAGUAUAGCGCCUAGGUCUUAGGCGCUGCAGUGCUGUGUCUGUGGGGCCGCAACUGGACCAGGGCUGCCUCGCUGGCAGGAGGUGCGACGCUCAAGAGAAGGGCGCUGCAUAGUAAUGUGCGGCGCCUAGCUGUCGGGCACCACACGAAAGGAUCAGCAGAGUGAAAUUUUUUCAAAAGCAGAUCAGUUUAUGAUUUGAUUUCGUCCUCAAGUCAAAUAUGUGAUUUCUUCCCCUCGCAGAAGCAGAAAAUAUCCUGCCUCCGUCUCCGUGCGUCGUUGGUCUGGUUCCCCUGCCCUCCCGUCGACGCAGCCUGCUGCAGCGACCAACACAAUACGCACGACACAUCCCGUGCGUGUACCAUGCCGCCAAAUGCACGUCUGUCUCGUACACUAGUACACUACUAGAGUAAGAUAAGGCUAUCUUCAGGCUUGAAUGCUUGAGCACGUGAAUGUUUCAGCUUGCGUGGUGGCGCCAUCCACUCAUUUCGAUCACAGCGGACCCAUUUAAUCAAUCACUAAAAGUCGGAGCCUCGGAGAAGCGAAGCUCAGCCUUUCUGAAACACUUAUCCGAAUAUUUUUCUAACCAGACGCAUUACAUAAGAGUAUCUACAGUUGGGCGUUUCAAACCUCACUCAAAUGUCCGGACGGGCGGUCCGGUUACUCAUGGAAAAAAAAACCUGACCCAUCCGGGCUGACAAUCACUCCUCAUAUCCAGUAUAAAUCUGGAGCAGAUAUGGGGCGAAGCGAACGCAUCCGCAACGUCAAACUGACGACAGAUCCCACACAUAAUUUUCAAAAACCCAACGGUCUGACGGGUGCCUCGUUCGGUGUGGUGUGAACGCCGCGUGGCGCUACUCAGGAUUGCCGCCCGAGGGCCAACAUCUGCCUAUUUAAGUCGGACGGUGUCCCCAAGCACUAGACACGUCCUCUCUCUCUCUCUCUCUCUCUAGCCCGAUCCCAUCUACUUCUUAUCCUCUCUGCCUCCUUCCCUCCACAUCCGCCUCCUUCAUGGCCCGGCAGAAGAAGAGCACCUAUGCUAUGCUAUGCUAACAUCUGCCUCCUUCCCAAUGCCGCUUGAGCUUGGCCAACCGAGCCGCCUCUGCCAUCGCCUUGCGCAAAUAUGCAAAGCUUACGUAUCAUUCAUUGAUAGGUAGAAAGCAAUACAAGAUCGGGUAUUACACUUAAGGACGUACAUGACAAUAUGGCGUUAAGUGCAACACCUGGACAGCAAGAAAAAUGGGGUUGCUCAACCCAAGAGACGGAAAAUCAACCUAUGCCAACAACGUUGUGUAGCCCGUUGGCUCCGGCACGAGCCCAUAGUUGUGCCUACUGCCGGAUGGUCUCGGUUAGGCGGCCGCCGGAGGGGCGUAGCCCAUCAAAGACACAACCAUUUCUACGUUUCCAAAGCUCCUAGGACGUGAGUAAUACCAGGGAGUUGAAGCCUUUGCGAGCACUCACGGGGAGAUCAACAUCAACAUCGAUGUGGAUCUGGCCGAUGUCGACACUGAGAUCGUCAUGAACUCCUUCUAGCUUGGCGAAGAGGCCAUCCAAUUUAGCAGAACUUUCAUCAAACAUUUUGCAGACUUACCCGAUGGGCAUCGUGUGCUGAUCCUCAAGCUUGCAAUCGAUGUCAUCGUCGAAGCCAUUUCGAAGCAGAUCAUAGAUGUGCCUCCCUAUUGUUAUCUGUUGGUAUUGAUCUAAGGCCCAACGGGCUGAAAAGAAAAGAAAAGAAAAAUAGAAGAUAAGUUAACGUAAGGGAAGGGGUAACGAACCAACGUAUGUUCCCCUCGACCCCAACUUACGCGCCCUGAUCGGAGGCACCCUAACCAACAAGUGGUUUUGGUCCCCUGUCGCCAGCGCACAUAAAAAGAUGGGGGAGCAGCCGGCACCUACGUCAGACUAGUUCUCGUACGGUUUACUCCUGCUCCCCAUAUCCCUAAACCCUAACCGAUCUGGGGGAGCGCUGCACGACGGGAAGAUCAUCUCCAAGCUCUGCCCCUGUCCCAGGGCAGUGCCGGUGGCGCCCCGAGGGACGCCGCUACCUGCAGCGAGCAUCUUCACCGAGCCUGCAUCAAGCCUGCAUCGAGCAGGCACGGGACUUCGCACCGUCGACACCAAUGGCUGCUUCCAUUGGUGGUAAGAACUCAACCCCUCCCUGAUCUGUGCUAUUAGGUGAUCUAAUGCCUGGCUUACGAUCUGUUAAGUAGAUCCUACGGGAUUAUAAGUCUAUCAAUGGUAUCUUGAGCGUGGUUAAGCCUAGAUUAGAUCCCUAAGAUGAUCUGUUUAAGUUUGAUGAUCCUGAUUACGUACUGAUGAUUAAGGUUAAGGAUAAUGGUUCAUGAUUAAGGCUAGAUUGCCCUCUGUUGAAGUCAAUGUUUAAUCUCUAGGGUUAUGUGGUUUCGGUUUAGAUCUAUUUGCUACAGGAUUAGUGCUAAUCAAAUAAUAGAAAUUAUGAUGAUUAACAUGUUCUGUUAGUCUAGCUAUGCCACGUUUCCGCAUCAAGAUAUGGCAAUUAGCACUGGUUUUAGUUCCUGUUAGCAAUUAGAACAUGAUGAAUUGGCAAAGUUAAAGUCAGACGAACCCUAACUCUAGAAAAUCCCCAAAUUUGAAACCCCAGUUUUCCUUUUGUGAAAUCCUCCAUUGGUGAGUCCAAAUGAUGAAUGAAAUUGAAAUUAAGAGAAAAGGUGACGGGCUCACCCAGAUGACGCCGGCCUUCGGGGUCCGCACGGCCGUCGCCGUACGCGCACGCCAUGGCCAGGACGCCUCCGCCCUUCGGGGUGGCGCGUGGAAUGAAGCAGCAGCCGCCGCUGCUGCGCUCACGCACGCGCGCGUCGCCUGGCCUCCGCGCCUUGCACGCCGCCGUCGCCGUCGAACGCCUGCGCCGGCAGUAGCCGGCGAAAUGUCCCUCCCGCCGCACAGGCGCCGUGUGCGCGACGUCGGAGCUACGCUCGCCGGAGGAGCGCGCGGGACUCGGUCCAUUGCACGCUGCUCCGGCGAGGGCAGCCACCGCGCUGCCAUGGGCCGGCGUGGAGCCACCGCGCGGCCGCCACUCCUCUGGAGUGAACGACUGGAUCGGGAGGAGUCAGGGGGAAAUGGGGAUAGGGUUUGACCCUCGCUCGUUUUGCUCCAUGCGGGACGAUCGCGGCCAUAGGCCCGAUCGGAUGGCUGAGAGCGACGGGUGGCUCAGGGCAGGCCUUCGGGCAUUAUACGGGCCGUUUUCGCGGCUGGGCUUCGGCCCAAGUUGUCUUAGCCCGCAGAAAAGGUGUUUUUUUUAAUGUUUUUUGUUUGUUUGAUGGGCUAGAAUUUAAAGAGCUGCCGUGGGUCUUGGGCUAAAAUUAAAGUUCUGUGCAAUUUUUCCAGUUUAUUCAGUGCAUUUCACAUAUUAUGAUUAUCGUCAAAAUGUUCUGCACUGUUAUAAAUAAAAAAAUUGCCAGAAAAAUGAUGCUGAAAAUUACGUUUUAGUUUUCUGAAUGAAAUGGAACCAACGAGAAAUUUUAUUUAGAAAACUUUUAUGGAUUAAUGUUUGUGUCAUUUUAUGGCAUAUUUAUGUUCAUCUCAUGGUAACAUCAAUGAAUGAUGAAUUAUUAAUGUUGGAAAAUUGAUAUUACACAUGAGAUUAAUGUGAUCAUUUUUGUAAUACAGACCAAUGUUGUUUUGCAUUUUUGAAUCACUCUGUUAAUUCCUUAUUAUUUUCUGCCCAACGAUGAUAUAAUUUGGAGUUAAUUUUUGCAUAAAAAUUGAUCAAACCAACGUAGGUUAAUUUUUUGUGCAAUUUAAUUCAAUUAUGAUGUUCUUUUCCUUUACUUAUGAUAUUUUGAAAUCGUGACAGCUUCCGGUUCUCGUGGCCUCGAGAUCGAGCCACUUACUGGGAAUAACUUCCAAUCAUGGAAGGACUAGUUGCUUUUGCACCUCGGAUGGCAUGAGGUUGACCUCACACUGAGGGAAAGUAAACCAGUGGAACCUGCAAAGGGUGCCACUGGGUAUGCUGAGCUUAAGAAAGACUAUGAUGCUAAAGUUGAGAAGUGGGAGAGGUCAAACAGAAUGGCGCUCUUAAUUAUGAACUUCUCCAUCUCGACUGAGAUUAAAGGGGCUAUUCCUGCCAAUGAAAGUGCCGUCGAAUAUUUGAAAUCGGUGGAAGAACAAUUUAAGGGCUCGGAGAAAGUGUAUGCAGCUGAGCUUUUGCACAAGCUGCUUGCAAAAUAUGACGGGCAUGGAAAUGUGAGGGAGCACAUCUUAAGUAUGAGCAAUGCCGCGGCAAAGCUUAAAACCAUGAAGUGUGACUUGAACGAAGAGCUUCUUGUGCUCCUAGUUUUUAGGUCACUACCCUCACAAUUCAAUCCAUUCAAGAUAAACUAUAACUCUCUUGAAACCAAAUGGAAACUAUCUAAACUCAUUGCACAUUGCGUUCAAGAGGAAGAGAGAAUGAAGAGUGAGCAGAAAGAUCAAGCUCUCCAUGUUAACUCUGCAAAGAGGAAGCAUGAGAACCAUGCUCAUAACAAUAAUGUGCCCAACAAAAAGCAGUAUUCCAAAAAGAAUCCUCCAAAGCCUAAGCAAUGCAACGAGGCAAGUUGUUCACGUCCCGCACCUUCAGCGGCUACUUCAGUUAAUCUUACAAAUGCUGUUGGAGAAAGACUUUGCAAUUUUUGCAAGCAGCCAAAUCAUUUCAAGGCGGACUGUCCAGGUUUUCUUAAGUGGCUGAACAAAAAGGGUAAGGAUGAGAUCACUCUUGUAGAUGAAUCUCUAUAUGUUGAUUUUUCUGAAUCUACAUGGUGGAUUGACUCAAGUGCGACGGUUCAUGUCGCGAAUUCUUUGCAGGGAUUCCAUAUAAGCCACACCCCAAGGGGUACAAGAAGACUUAAUGUUGCGAAUGGGAAGGAGGCUGAAGUUGAAGCCGUGGGAUCCCUCACCUUGAAGUUGCACACUGGCUUCCUACUUCAGCUCAAGGACGUUCUUUAUGUGCCUACUUUGAGUAGGAAUUUGAUGUCAGUUUCAUGUUUAGAUGAUUUUGGAUUUCAUUGUACCUUCGGGGAGAAACAUUGUUUUUUAAAGUAUUGUAAUAAGGAUGUUGGUCUCGCCGUCCGACGAGGCAAACUUUAUAUGUUAAAUCUUCCCGGUUAUCCUAUGUGUGUGAAUCUCUGCGAGAUGAAUAUGAAUGAAUGCAAUCAUAAAAAGAAUGGGAGAAGUAUCAAUCCUUCUUCGAAAUUGUGGCAUCGUCGCUUGGGCCACAUUUCGAGGGGGAGAAUGGAACGAUUAAUUAAAGAAGAAAUACUUCAUCCGCUAGAUUUCUCUGAUGCGGGCAAUUGUAUUGACUGUAUUAAGGGAAAAUAUGUGAAAACAAUUAAGAAAGGAGCAGUAAGAGCCACAUCGGUCCUUGAACUUAUUCAUACUGACAUAUGCGGACCUUUUAACGUAAAGUCUAUGGAUGGUUUUGAUUCCUUCAUUACCUUCACAGACGAUUUCUCUCGCUAUGGCUACAUUUACCCCAUACGUGAUCGAUCCGAAGCUUUGGACAAAUUUAAGAUUUAUAAAGCCGAGGUUGAAAAUCAACUCAACCUAAAGAUCAAAGUAGUACGGUCUGAUCGCGGGGGAGAAUAUUAUGGAAGGCAUGCUCCUUAUGGGAAAAUUCCAGGACCGUUCGCAAAAUAUCUUGCUGAAAAUGGAAUAAUUGCCCAAUAUUCAAUGCCUGGUGAACCUCAGCAAAAUGGCGUAGCUGAGCGUCGCAAUCGCACUCUUAUGGAUAUGGUACGUAGCAUGCUUAGUCAUGCGAACUUACGAGUAAGCCUUUGGAUGGAGGCAUUGAAAACAGCUGCACACAUCCUAAAUCUUGCUCCAACUAAGUCAGCACCGAGCACACCUUACGAGAUGUGGGCGGGAAAGAAACCGAGCUUGAAUUACUUGCGAGUGUGGGGCUGCCCGGCUGAAGCUAAAGUAUUCAAUCCACAUAUUAAGAAAUUGGACCCAAAGACAGUCAGCUAUUUUUUCAUUGGGUACCCUCAUAGAGGAAAAGGAUAUCACUUUUAUUGCCCAGGUCAUACCACCAAGUUUGUGGAAACCAGGCAAGCGGUGUUUUUUGAGGAUAAUGAAGUCACUGAGGUUAGGGCGAUUGAUCUUGAGGAGAAGCGGGUGUACGUUCCAUCCCCGACUAUCCAACAGAACUUUAUCCCUAUGCCUAAUAUGCAUGAGACACCUACUGGUGAUCCCGAACCUGAAGUGGAUCCUCAAUCUGAUGAGGAGCCUCAGCAUAAUGAAGAUCCUCAGCAUGAUGAGGAUCCUCAGCCAAAUGAUGAUCCUCAACCCAAUGUUAAUCCUCAACCUUCUCGGGCAAGAGAAAAUGCACAUACUAAUGAGCCUACGAGAAGAUCACAACGGGAAAAGAAAAAGGCCAUCUCUAGCGAUUAUGUCACUUUCAUGUGUGAGGAUGAGAAUGACAUAGGGAAGGCACAAGAUCCGACCUCAUAUAAAGAAGCCACUAAAAGUGAAGACUCGUCCAAAUGGUUGGUAGCCAUGGAAGACGAAUUGAAAUCUAUGAGCUCGAAUGAUGUUUGGGACUUAGUAGAAGUUCCUGAUGGAGCCAAAAGGGUAGGCUGCAAGUGGGUCUACAAAACCAAAUAUGAUUCCAAAGGGAACGUCGAAAGGUUCAAAGUGAGACUUGUAGCAAAAGGUUUUACACAGAGAGAAGGAAUCGAUUAUAAGGAGACCUUCUCGCCUGUGUCAUCCAAAGAUUCUUUCAGAAUUGUCAUGGCACUUGUAGCUCAUUAUGAUUUGGAGCUGCAUCAAAUGGAUGUCAAGACAUCAUUUUUGAAUGGUGACUUAAAAGAAUAAGUUUACAUGACUUAACCUGAAGGUUUUGUCGUGGAAGGAAAAGAACACAUGGCAUGUCGUUUAAAGAAAUCCAUAUAUGGCUUGAGACAAGCUUCAAGGCAGUGGUACCUAAAGUUCGAUGAGAUUAUUAGAACUUUUGGUUUUAAAGAGAAUGAAGUGGAUAACUGCAUAUAUGUUAAAUUUAAAGGCAGUAGGUUCACAUUUUUAGUCCUAUAUGUGGAUGAUAUUCUAUUGGCUUGCAGUGAUAAAGAUAUGCUGCAUGAGACCAAGAGAUUUCUAUCCUCAAAAUUUAACAUGAAGGAUCUCGGUGAAGCCUCGUAUGUCCUUGGCAUCGACAUUCAUCGAGAUAGGUCCAAAGGAACAUUAGGACUAUCGCAAAAGGCAUACUUUGAGAGAGUACUAAAGAAAUGAAGGAAAUAUGCCCUAGAGGCAAUAAUAAAGUUAUUAUUUAUUUCCUUAUAUCAUGAUAAAUGUUUAUUAUUCAUGCUAGAAUUGUAUUAACCGGAAACAUAAUACAUGUGUGAAUACAUAGACAAACUUAGUGUCACUAGUAUGCCUCUACUUGACUAGCUCGUUAAUCAAAGAUGGUUAUGUUUCCUAACCAUGAACAAAGUGUUGUUAUUUGAUUAACGAGGUCACAUCAUUAGUUGAAUGAUCUGAUUGACAUGACCCAUUCCAUUAGCUUAGCACCCGAUCGUUUAGUAUGUUGCUAUUGCUUUCUUCAUGACAUAUACAUGUUCCUAUGACUAUGAGAUUAUGCAACUCCCGUUUGCCGAAGGAACACUUUGGGUGCUACCAAACGUCACAACGUAACUGGGUGAUUAUAAAGGAGNNNNNNNNNNNNNNNNNNNNNNNNNNNNNNNNNNNNNNNNNNNNNNNNNNNNNNNNNNNNNNNNNNNNNNNNNNNNNNNNNNNNNNNNNNNNNNNNNNNNGGGAGCUUGCUGCUCGUCUUUAAUUCCAUGAAGUCCGAAAUUACUUCCAUGCUCGCCACCACGCUCGCCCCCGGUGUUUGCUCCUGAUCAUCCUCUACCGCUGCUUCCCAUGCUAACUCUGGGCCACCAAAGCUUCUUGCUACCUGAAACUAUUUCAUGCUCGCCACCAAACUCGCACUGGCGUUUGCUCCUGACCAUCCUCUGUUGCUUGCUAUAUGGGCCGCCAAAGCUUCUCGCUGCCUGUGCUCGCUGACUGAUUAGAUUCUUGCUGCCCAUGCUCUCCCUGUUGGAGCCGAUACUACUUCAUCUGGCUGCAUUGGGAACCGGACACUAUAUGAAGCAAAUUCUCCAAGCUUGGGGAGCAAAUUUUGGCCAGCAAUGUCGAAUCGAAUGCUGAUGGCAGAAACAAGGAGUUGGGAAAAAUAUAUGUUUUUGUUUGCAGGUUUGCUAUUUUAAGUCGAGCGGCAAAUUAUUUCAGUUCAGUUGAUUCACACUAUCAAGUUCAUCCAUUGAUGUACUUACAUCUCCACAGAUCUGCAACAACAAUAAUUGAAGUAUAAUAAAACUGUCUUGAUGACUCAUUUAUAAAGAUAUCAUUAUUCAUCACAUCUUUCCACACAAACGUCAGAGCCUGAAAAGUAAUUACCAAUCUUCAUAUUGAAGUAGUCUUUGCUUAUUAAGCACCAAACUAUUUUUGACACAUUUACCACAGUUUAAGUUGCUGCACAUGGCCCUGAUAGCAGACCCAGUUUUUAAUGUGGGUAUCACCAAUAUAUACCAUUCACACCCCGUUAUGAAAUGCAGCGUCCAGGUAAUUAGUGUUGUAAGGCUACCUUUAGGAGAGAUAUUUUUGGUUGUACUGCUAAAACUAAGCGGCGUGCCAUCCAGGUAGAAAAAAUAUACCUGAUGCACACUUGUGGGAAUUAAUUCAUAAAACCUUCAAUCAAGAUGAGUAUCUAUUGAAUCCCACAGCGAAGCAAAGCGUGGGCAUGUGACUAGUUUGUUCCAUUUUGCUUGUGAAGUAGUAUUGAAUCCAACCUGAGCUGAAAGUUCUUCUGUAUCAUCUGAUUAUUACCUGUCUUGCUUGCGGAGAGUCGAUCGAUGGAUUAAGAAGCCUCAUCCUUGGAACUCCAAGAUGAAGAAGGUGGCACUGAAAUGUAACAGUUGUGAUGAGCAUUUGCAAGAUUAGGGUGGCGCAUGCCUGAGAUUAAGAAGCUAUUUUGCUGAGACAGUGAGAUGGCCCCUAAUUAUUUUCUUCUUCUUCUUGAGAUGAUGGCUCCUAAUUAGCAGCUAGCUACAGAUAUGCGCAAAGGAGACAGGGAAAGAAAGGUACAUGUUGAUGAAGAUGCUGCUGAAAUUUGACAGUUGUGAUGAGCAUUUGCUACAUAUUAAGAAUCUUUGUCGCUGUGACGGCAUGUUUGUUGAUGGACGGAUGGAUACCAUUUCUAUAUAUCGUGUGUGACAUUCCCAUGUCAUUAUGAAUCCAUUAUGGUACUUUUAUUGUACUGAAAUUAUAGUCUCUUGAGGUGUGGUUGAUCCAAAUACAUGAGUGAAAAAUCUUAGUACAUAAUUAUAUAUCCGUGUCUACAAGUUUUCUUAUAUCGGAUAUAGUUGGCGUGCAAGACAAGUGCACAAUAAUUGUAGCAGUAUGUUCUACAUCAAAUCAAAUACUCCCUUUGCAAACAUUUGUAAGAUGUUUUAGAUCACUAAAGUACUACUGUCUUAUAAAGUUUACAGAGGUAGUAUGUUACAAGCGUAUACUUUUCUGAACUAAUACGUAUCGAUCUUCAUAGAAUUCCAGGUUAAAUUGGAAAACCAUUUCCUCGCAAAAAUAAUAAUUUGAAAACCAUUGUUUGGGAACUUGAGAUAGCGUGCCCAUUCUGAGUAUAAGUGUAUAACACUGAACUUCAUUGCAUAAAUAUGACAUAAAAAAGAAACUUGGUUAGCAAGGAAAAUACAGUUUUCACCUAUGAC